ACAACUUUCAACAACGGAUCUCUUGGUUCUGGCAUCGAUGAAGAACGCAGCGAAAUGCGAUAAGUAGUGUGAAUUGCAGAAUUCAGUGAAUCAUCGAAUCUUUGAACGCACAUUGCGCCCCUCGGUAUUCCGUGGGGCAUGCCUGUUCGAGCGUCAUU
rnacentral:rRNA from 1 species